rnacentral:rRNA from 1 species
GAUAGCCUCCCUACCAGCUGGCACAUACCUGGUCCGGUCUGAUUCUGGCAGCUAAGCAGAGUUAGGCCUGGUUGGUCCAUGCAUGGAAGACCAUCC